GUGAGGAAUAUUGCGCAAUGGAGGCAACUCUGACGCAGCCAUGCCGCGUGCAGGAAGAAGGCGCUACGCGUUGUAAACUGCUUUUAACCGGGAAGAAACCCCAGGACGUGUCCUGGGUUGACGGUACCGGAGGAAUAAGCACCGGCUAACUUCGUGCCAGCAGCCGCGGUAAUACGAAGGGUGCAAGCGUUAUCCGGAUUCAUUGGGUUUAAAGGGUGCGUAGGCGGAGCGUUAAGUCAGUGGUGAAAUCCUGCAGCUUAACUGUAGACUUGCCAUUGAUACUGGCGCUCUUGAGUGCGCUUGAAGUGGGCGGAAUGUGUCGUGUAGCGGUGAAAUGCUUAGAUAUGGCACAGAACACCAAUUGCGAAGGCAGCUCACUAAGGCGAUACUGACGCUGAGGCACGAAAGCGUGGGGAUCGAACAGGAUUAGAUACCCUAGUAGUCC
rnacentral:rRNA from 1 species